UAAAGUUCCAACUGAAAUCGAAUUAAUGGCUGACAAAACAUCUGUACCUUUGUACCUCAAAUUACUUGAGUCAGGCUCUGAGAAAAAGAGAGACAUACGUUUAGUAAUCGUUGGAAAGAAAGGUGUGGGUAAGACCUCAUUGGUUAAAAGAUUAUUCAACGAAGGAAAGAAAGGUGCUGGACUAACAUCAUUUUUUAAAAGAUUGUUUGGAGGAAAUAAUGCAGAUGUUACAAGCACAAAUGGAAUAGAAAUUCAUAUGAUAAAAUGCAAAGCAAAAUCUGGUGAUAGCAUUUGGAAUAGAUAAGAAGGCAACUAUGAAGAAACUGAACUUCAUGCAAGAUUAUUAAAACCAUACGAAGAAAAACUAGCCAGUGAGGACAGCUCAGCCAUCAUUGAAGAAGCAGCCCACAAGACGUUUACGGACACCACUUCACCAACAGGUUUUGUUAAAUCAAAGGAACCAAGAACAGUAUUUCAGCCUAAAAAAAAUAAACCUCCAGUAGACACUCAAAUUAUACACCCAGUAGACACUAAAUUUAACUAUUCAGAGGGAGCUCAUAAAACUGUCAAAGACAACACCCUCAUUACCAUUUUGUACAGACGUGUUGAUGAAUCAAAGGAAUCAAAAACUUUAUCUGAGCAGCCUGAAAAAAUAAAACCUCCAGUAGUCACUCAAGUUGAACCCCAAGCAUCUCAAGUAGCCAAUAUUUAUCAUGAACAACAGCAAAACCUGUCAUUAGAAAAAGCUCAUAAAGAUAUCAAAUCCAUGAUGGAAAAAUUGACAGUUGAUUUACAUGACAAAGAGGAAUAUGCCAACUUGUUAUUAUGGGAUUUUGCUGGCGAUGAAGAAUUUUACCACACACACCAAACAUUUCUGUCCCAAGAUGCAAUUUAUCUUGUUGUGACAAAACUUAAUGAGGCUGAUGACAAAAAUGCACAAGAAAUGUUUCAGUUGUGGAUGAAUUCCAUACAUUGCUACUGUAGACUUGACGAUCAGCAAAAUAAACCUGAAAGUUUUACUGCUAAAAUAGAUGAAAGUACUGAGACAUAGGAAACAAAUAUUCUCGAUCCACCAGUGAUUCUUGUUGGUUCACAUAAAGACAAAGUCAGGCUUUCAAAGGGAGAAAAGGUGUGUAAAGACACUGUACAAAUAUAUACAAUAUAAAAAAAGUAAAAUAACAAAAAUACAGAACUCAAAUUCAAAUUUGAAAGUCCCUUAUCAAAUGUCAAAAUCAAAACCUAAAACACAUUAAACUAAUGGAAAACAACUGUCAUAAUUCUGACUUGGUACAUGCAUUUCUUUUUGUAGAAAAUUUACCCAUAUCAAGCGAAGGCAGAAGGAAAUCAUUAUUACUGUAAAAACAGAGUUAAGUAUACAGGAAUGAACAAGACUUAGAUUACCAUGGUGGCUGAACUUUGAACUCAAUAUGACCCCAUCAGUAGGAGGGGUAAACUCAUUGAAAUUGAAAUUCAAUUAAUAUCUAAUAAAACAUACAUAAUGGAAUUGGCUGUCUAUAUUUUACUGGAUCUAGAUAAUGUUAGGGUUGCAUGAUAUUUGUAAUGAAACCUUGAUCUUAAAUGCUUUCAACCUAUCUUUAAUCGUUAGUAAGGAAAGCAUGAAAUCUCAGGAUCUGCACACUUGUUACUAACGGUAGACAUAUAAACAAAUUAAUUAAAAACUGCACCCAUCGAACACAAGUCUUGAAUAUAUAUCCAUAAAAAAAGACAAAUAAUUGAUCUUUCAGAAUAAUGAUGCUUUAAGCAUGAAAAAUGGUCACAAUAUGCAUAUUGGGGUCAAAGGUCAACAAUUACAUAUUUACAAAUAUUGUCUUAAUUAUAACUUUUGGGUUUAUUUCAGGAAUUAGAAAUAUAUAAAAAAAAAUCAUUUUUCGAUUCAUACUUGAUAAAGCCUAAAGAAGAUAUCAAAUUAAAAAAGAAAAAUAAAAUAUUUUGUACUUAAAAUUCACUCUUUUCUUACUUAGGAAUUUUGUUUAUUUAUGGCUCCAUUUUGUUUCCAUACAAGAAUAACUUUUGAUUAUACAGAUAAAUAUAUAAAUUAAGGAUGUUGCCUAGUCUUCUUUUUGACAUUUUGUCAGAUAUUCGUAAUCCUCUGGUUUUAUCAGUGUAUAAUGCAAUUAAACGUUUUGCCCUCUAAUCCUUAUUUUCUUUUCAUAAUUUGACUGCAUACAGUUUAAUUAACAAUUUUCCUUGGAGGUCAGUAUUUUUGUGAUUUUACUUUUUGUCAUACAUUUUGUAAUUCAAAACUUUAACUCCUACGAUUCAUAAGAAAGGGAAAUAGCUUUUAGAUAGUCUAUCAUUGCUUACAUCCACUUCUUUUGAAUUUUGUUGGAUAGUUGAUUCAUUUGCAAUCAUACCACAUCUUCUUAUUUUUAUAUGUUGUGUGCUUACUAACAUAAUUGUAUUAAUAAAGAAAACAAAAAGGGACAAAAAACUCACCAUUGAUACCAGGAUUAAAAUUGGUACACCAGAAGCACUUUUUGUCUUCAAUAGACUCACCAGUGACACGCGAAUCAACAAAGUUAAAAAGGUCAAACAAAGAACAAAGUUUUACCUGUAUAGUUGGAUUUUUUUUUUGGUUUCUUCAGUCAACAAAGUGGAUCUUC